GGGGCUGUAGCUCAGUUGGCUAGAGCGCUUGCAUGGCAUGCAAGAGGCCAGGGGUUCGAAUCCCCUCAGCUCCACCA
rnacentral:tRNA from 1 species